rnacentral:rRNA from 1 species
UACGAAGGGGACUAGCGUUGUUCGGAAUCACUGGGCGUAAAGCGCACGUAGGCGGCUCUUUAAGUCAGGGGUGAAAUCCUGGAGCUCAACUCCAGAACUGCCUUUGAUACUGAGGACCUUGAGUUCGGGAGAGGUGAGUGGAACUGCGAGUGUAGAGGUGAAAUUCGUAGAUAUUCGCAAGAACACCAGUGGCGAAGGCGGAUCACUGGCCCGAUACUGACGCUGAGGUGCGAAAGCGUGGGGAGCAAACAGG